rnacentral:rRNA from 1 species
UACCAGCUCUCCGAGUAGUGUGGAUGUUUAUUGGGCCUAAAGCAUCCGUAGCUUGCUAAGCAAGUCCCCUGUUAAAUCCACCGAUUCAAUCGGUGGAUUGCGGGGGAUACUGUUUGGCUAGGGGACGGGAGAGGCCGACGGUAUUUCCGGGGUAGGGGUGAAAUCCUAUAAUCCCGGGAAGACCACCAGUGGCGAAGGCUGUCGGCUAGAACGCGCCCGACGGUGAGGGAUGAAAGCUGGGGGAGCGAACCGGAUUAGAUACCCGGGUAGUCCCAGCUGUAAACGAUGCAGGCUAGGUGUUUGGGCGGCCACGUGCCGCUCUAGUGCCGCAAGGAAGCUGUUAAGCCUGCCGCCUGGGGAGUACGGCCGCAAGGCUGAAACUUAAAGGAAUUGGCGGGGAGCACCACAAGGGGUGAAGCUUGCGGUUU